GAACUUUUAGGUUAAGAUAAACUAAAGGCCUUCAAAGUCUUUAAUAACGAUUUUCGUUAAAGUUUG
rnacentral:tRNA from 1 species